rnacentral:rRNA from 1 species
UACGUAGGGUGCAAGCGUUGUCCGGAAUUAUUGGGCGUAAAGAGCUCGUAGGCGGUCUGUCACGUCGGCUGUGAAAACCCGGGGCUCAACCCCGGGCCUGCAGUCGAUACGGGCAGACUAGAGUGCGGUAGGGGAGACUGGAAUUCCUGGUGUAGCGGUGAAAUGCGCAGAUAUCAGGAGGAACACCGGUGGCGAAGGCGGGUCUCUGGGCCGUAACUGACGCUGAGGCACGAAAGCUAGGGGAGCAAACAGG